rnacentral:rRNA from 1 species
GACGAACGCUGGCGGCGUGCCUAAUACAUGCAAGUCGAACGCACUCUCGUUUAGAUUGAAGGAGUUUGCUCCUGAUUGAUAAACAUUUGAGUGAGUGGCGGACGGGUGAGUAACACGUGGGUAACCUGCCCUAAAGUGGGGGAUAACAUUUGGAAACAGAUGCUAAUACCGCAUAAAACCUAACACCGCAUGGUGUAGGGUUGAAAGAUGGUUUCGGCUAUCACUUUAGGAUGGACCCGCGGUGCAUUAGUUAGUUGGUGAGGUAAAGGCUCACCAAGACCGUGAUGCAUAGCCGACCUGAGAGGGUAAUCGGCCACACUGGGACUGAGACACGGCCCAGACUCCUACGGGAGGCAGCAGUAGGGAAUCUUCCACAAUGGACGAAAGUCUGAUGGAGCAACGCCGCGUGAGUGAAGAAGGUUUUCGGAUCGUAAAACUCUGUUGUUGGAGAAGAAUGUAUCUGAUAGUAACUGAUCAGGUAGUGACGGUAUCCAACCAGAAAGCCAGGCUAACUACGUG